UACGUAGGUGGCAAGCGUUGUCCGGAUUUACUGGGCGUAAAGAGCUCGUAGGCGGCUCAGUAAGUCAGGUGUGAAAACUCCAGGCUCAACCUGGAGACGCCACCUGAUACUGCUGUGGCUAGAGUCCGGUAGGGGAGCAUGGAAUUCCUGGUGUAGCGGUGAAAUGCGCAGAUAUCGGGAAGAACACCCGUGGCGAAGGCGGCUCUCUGGGACGGUACUGACGCUGAGACGCGAAAGCGUGGGGAGCAAACAGG
rnacentral:rRNA from 1 species